GGGGGGAGCGCCGGAUCUUCGGCUGUGUCCCCCGGCGCCCUAGGCUUCUGGGCCUGUGCUGGUGGAAUUGUGCUCCGGGGCACGCAGCUCCCU
rnacentral:pre_miRNA from 1 species